rnacentral:rRNA from 1 species
GUAGGUGAACCUGCGGAUGGAUCAUUACAGAUCAAGAGACUGCCGCUCUACUACGGGCUUUAGUCUUUAAACUAGACACUCACUUUUGCAAAAUUAACCCGGUUGCGCGGGGCGUCUGAGUGGCGUUUCACGCCGAAGACGUAGUUCCCGCAACCCGAGAGCGCUAAUGCCCAGCCUCUCGCCCCGGCCGCAUAGGCUCGGUGCCGUCCCCUGAUCAGGACGGAACCGGGCCGCUGGCUCUGGGCACCGUCCCUUGAUCAGAGACGGAGCCCUUGCCGACCCACAAUGGCCGCGUGGCAGCAAAACCAGGGACCGUCCCACUAGAUAUAGUGGUCGGGUCCCGGACCCAAACGGGCGGCGGUCGCACGGCGCGUUCGCGGGUCUUCCCAGCCCGACAGUCUGAACGAUGGGGUACCGGUUUCCCUCCAGUAGCCGCCCGUCCGAUGUCUCCGAGGCGACUGCCAAGGAGACUAGCGACGGGUUGGCUAUCCCGGUUUAAAGCGAUCUUUCCCCAGGAGGGGACGGAAGAUGGACCCGCGUGCCACUCUAAUGGGCAUAGACUGCGGACCGCUUAACGGCGGACUGCUGGUCUGGCGCGCGGGACCCGGACGCCGUCUUGCUUGGGACAUCCGCCCCCGUUUUCCCCUAUAGCUUUAACUAGCCAGGGGGAGGCGUAAUUGCCAAACGCAUCGUUUAACGCAUCUUGAACGCAAGUCUCUGGAUCCGAGCUCUCGGGAGCCAGGGCGCAGGACUUCUGCCCGUGUUGCGCGGGCGGUUGAUACCUGUUCAAAUCUGAGACAACUCUAUGCGGUGGAUCACUCGGCUCGUGCGUCGAUGAAGAGCGCAGCCAGCUGCGUGAAUUAAUGUGAAUUGCAGGACACACUGAACAUCGACACCUUGAACGCACAUUGCGGCUCUGGCUCACUGCCAGAGCCACGCCUGUCCGAGGGUCGGCGAACAAGUCAUCGCACCGGCUGCCGCCGUAAAAAGCGGCUUGGCCGGCUGCGUGUUGGCGUGUCGCGCGGGCAUAGUCUCGCUCGUCCGCCGUAGACUUCAGCCUCUCUCCGCCGUGGGCGGCCUCCGGAACGAAGCGGCGUGGGGACAGGGCUCGAACGGGCCUUCUGUCUUAUGCCACGUCAGAUGCUUUCAGCGUCGGACGACCUUCGCUCCAACGGCACAAGCCAGCGAGCAAGAGAGAGCGCGACCUUCGUGUCGCGGCCACUUGGGAACGACCAACGCCUACUACCCAGUAGUGGGCCGGUCGGUCUCUCGCACAUCCGACCUCGGAUCAGACGGGAAUACCCGCUGAAUUUAAGCAUAUCAGUAAGCGGAGGAAAAGAAACUAACCAGGAUUCCCUCAGUAACGGCGAGUGAAGCGG